rnacentral:lncRNA from 1 species
UUUUGCCUAUCUGCAAUGAAAUCAGUGGCUAUACUUGGAGCACAUCCACAGCGUUGACAAGGUCUGAACUAUACCAACUUUGCAACAGAUAAACAUGAAUAAACCCUACUCUGCUGUAAGGUAAUGUAACCAAAGAUGACAACCACUACUCUGCAAAUACACCAUGCAAUAUUCCUUCCAUGCCCAGCUAAUUGUCUUCAGUUUAGCCAAGGCAGAAAACAUUUUUUUGCUGCAAAAUGAAACCACUACAUGAAAGCUAUAUUUUGUUCAAAACAGAGCUGGUCCACUACACCAAAGUCAUGCUGGCAAGGACACAUCAAAACCAAACUUGCCAGCCCCUCGCUCUCUUACUUGUUUGUGUCAAUCAGUUUGGAGAUUUUUAACAUUUGAGUUAUGUUUAUCUGAACUGGUUUUCAAGGUCUAAUUAUAACAUGUGUAGCAGGGUGAGAUUGCUGCUAUGAAAGUUGAAACAUAAAUAAAGAGGACUUGACGGGCUGACUGAUAUGUUGGCACAGACCAGACAUGUAUGUCACGUGGAAGCCCAGUGCAGCUGUUGUAUUCCGUGGUACAAUAAAUAGCUGUGGGGAAGCAGCACGGUCAUGCGGGAUUUUUUAAUACCACCUACUGUGCUACUUGGCCAAAUGUACUUGCCUUACAGGAAAACAGGCAGUAUCUGAAGUUUAAAUGCAGAAGAGUGACGGUCCUGGCAGAACAAGGACUGUACAUUUUGAAGGCUCUGCGGGAGAACAUGGCAUGGUUGCCUGCCUCCCUUAUCCCAUCCUCCUUUCACACAGUCCCACACAGAUGACCCAAGCCCAACUUUCCGCUCAGUAAAACCAACAGAGCAUGUGUUCUCACCUCUUUGAGCUGGAAGAGUGUGCCAUACACAAUAAAGUGCACAAUCUCUCCUCCUGUUGCAGGAGAGAGCCACUGCAUGCAAGGAACAUGCCUGGCAGAACUCAAAAGAUGGAUGUCUCAGGAAACUGUACAGAGGCUUCAGAGGACAUGCCUGUUGUAUCUCUUACCAUACCUAGAUGGAGGUGUGCUCCUAAUCAAGUCUGGGGAACGAGCCUUCACAGCAACACAACUACUGCGAUCUUCAGCUACAGAGGCACUGCCCAGCCCAAACUGUAGAAAACUGGGGAGGAACAAACCCUCGUUUUGCCCGACUUGUCUCCAAGCUGCUUUUCCCCAACCGUUUUCUCACCUCUUCUGUUUCCUAUUUGAAUAAACUGCAGAUAACUUAAGGUUAUCUGGUAUGUUUUGAAAAUGUGUUGACAGUGGAAAUCAGGAACACGUUAAAUAAACGUGUCUCAG